rnacentral:rRNA from 1 species
GAUGAACGCUAGCGGCAGGCUUAAUACAUGCAAGUCGAGGGGCAGCAUGAGUGUAGCAAUACAUUUGAUGGCGACCGGCAAACGGGUGCGGAACACGUACACAACCUUCCUAUUAGUGGGGAAUAGCCCAGAGAAAUUUGGAUUAAUACCCCGUAACAUAAUAAUUUGGCAUCACAUUAUUAUUAUAGCUUCGGCGCUUAUUGAUGGGUGUGCGGCUGAUUAGAUAGUUGGCGGGGUAACGGCCCACCAAGUCUACGAUCAGUAGGUGCUGUGAGAGGAUAGGCAGCCACACGGGCACUGUGACACGGGCCCGAAUCCGAAGGGACGCAGGAGUGGGGAAUUUUGGACAGUGGGAGCGAGCCUGGUCCAGCAAUGCCACGUGCAGGGAGAAGGCCGUCGGGUUGUAAACCGCUAUUGUCAGGGAAGAAACGCGCUGAGUUAAUACCUCGGCGUAAUGACGGUACCUGAAGAAUAAGCACCGGCUAACUACGUGCCAGCCGCCGCGGUAACAC